rnacentral:rRNA from 1 species
CCUACGGGAGGCAGCAGUGGGGAAUAUUGCACAAUGGGGGAAACCCUGAUGCAGCGACGCCGCGUGAGUGAAGAAGUAAUUCGGUAUGUAAAGCUCUAUCAGCAGGGAAGAAAAUGACGGUACCUGAGUAAGAAGCCCCGGCUAACUACGUGCCAGCAGCCGCGGUAAUACGUAGGGGGCAAGCGUUAUCCGGAUUUACUGGGUGUAAAGGGAGCGUAGACGGGAGUGCAAGUCUGGAGUGAAAGGCGGGGGCUCAACCCCCGGACUGCUCUGGAAACUGGACGGCUGGAGUGCAGGAGAGGUAAGUGGAAUUCCUAGUGUAGCGGUGAAAUGCGUAGAUAUUAGGAGGAACACCAGUGGCGAAGGCGGCUUACUGGACUGUAACUGACGUUGAGGCUCGAAAGCGUGGGGAGCAAACAGGAUUAGAUACCCUUGUAGUC